UACGGAAGGCAGCAGGGGGAAUCUUGCGCAAUGGGCGAAAGCCUGACGCAGCCAUGCCGCGUGAAUGAUGAAGGUCUUAGGAUUGUAAAAUUCUUUCACCGGGGACGAUAAUGACGGUACCCGGAGAAGAAGCCCCGGCUAACUUCGUGCCAGCAGCCGCGGUAAUACGAAGGGGCUAGCGUUGCUCGGAAUUACUGGGCGUAAAGGGAGCGUAGGCGGACAUUUAAGUCAGGGGUGAAAUCCCGGGGCUCAACCUCGGAAUUGCCUUUGAUACUGGGUGUCUUGAGUAUGAGAGAGGUGUGUGGAACUCCGAGUGUAGAGGUGAAAUUCGUAGAUAUUCGGAAGAACACCAGUGGCGAAGGCGACACACUGGCUCAUUACUGACGCUGAGGCUCGAAAGCGUGGGGAGCAAACAGGGAUUAGAUACC
rnacentral:rRNA from 1 species